AGCAGCCGCGGUAAUUCCAGCUCCAAUGGCGUAUAUUAAAGUUGUUGCAGUUAAAAAGCUCGUAGUUGAAUUUCGGGAUCAAUAUUUCGGUCAUGCCGUUGGUAUGCACUGUUAUCAUUGAUUUCUCACCUUCUAAAGAACCGUAAUGCCAUUAAUUUGGUGUUACGGGGAAUUAGGACUGUUACCUUGAAAAAAUUAGAGUGUUUAAAGCAAGCUAACGCUUGAAUACAUUAGCAUGGAAUAAUGAAAUAGGACGUUCGAUCCUAUUUUGUUGGUUUCUAGGAUUGACGUAAUGAUUAAUAGGGAUAGUUGGGGGCAUUAGUAUUCAAUUGUCAGAGGUGAAAUUCUUGGAUUUAUUGAAGACUAACUACUGCGAAAGCAUUUGUCAAGGAUGUUUUCAUUAAUCAAGAACGAAAGUUAGGGGAUCGAAGACGAUCAGAUACCGUCGUAGUCUUAACCAUAAACUAUGCCGACUAGGGAUCGGAUGAUGUUAAUUUUUAAUGACUCAUUCGGCGCCUUA
rnacentral:rRNA from 1 species